rnacentral:rRNA from 1 species
UACGGGAGGUCAGCAGUGGGGGAAUAUUGCUACAAUGGGCGUCAAGCCUGAUGCUAGCCAUGCCGCGUGUAUGGAAGAAGGUCCUUCGGGUUGUAAAGGUACUUUCAGCAGUGUAGGAAGGUGGGGUAUGUUAAUAGCAUACUCAUUUGACGUUAGCUGCAGAAGAAGCACCGGCUAACUCCGUGCCAGCAGCCGCGGUAAUACGGAGGGUGCGAGCGUUAAUCGGAAUUACUGGGCGUAAAGCGCAUGCAGGUGGUUUGUUAAGUCAGAUGUGAAAGCCCGGGGCUCAACCUCGGAAUUGCAUUUGAAACUGGCAAACUAGAGUACUGUAGAGGGGGGUAGAAUUUCAGGUGUAGCGGUGAAAUGCGUAGAGAUCUGAAGGAAUACCGGUGGCGAAGGCGGCCCCCUGGACAGAUACUGACACUCAGAUGCGAAAGCGUGGGGGAGCAAACAGGAUUAGAUACCCCUGGUAG